rnacentral:rRNA from 1 species
GAUGAACGCUAGCGGCAGGCUUAAUACAUGCAAGUCGAGGGGCAGCGCAGUGUAGCAAUACAUGGGCGGCGACCGGCAAACGGGUGCGGAACACGUACACAACCUUCCUACAAGUGGGGAAUAGCCCAGAGAAAUUUGGAUUAAUACCCCGUAACAUAGCGAUGUGGCAUCACAUGGCUAUUAUAGCUUCGGCGCUUGUUGAUGGGUGUGCGGCUGAUUAGAUAGUUGGCGGGGUAACGGCCCACCAAGUCUACGAUCAGUAGCUGAUGCGAGAGCAUGAUCCGCCACACGGGCACUGAGACACGGGCCCGACUCCUACGGGAGGCAGCAGUAAGGAAUAUUGGACAAUGGACGCAAGUUUGAUCCAGCCAUGCCGCGUGAAGGAUUAAGGUCCUCUGGAUUGUAAACUUCUUUUAUAAGGGACGAAAAAAGGUCUUUCUAGAUCGUCUGACGGUACCUUAUGAAUAAGCACCGGCUAACUCCGUGCCAGCCGCCGCGGUAACAC